UUGUAUGACGCAGUACGAUUUCGAUUCUAUGCCAUUGCUGGCAAUGUUCGGCGCUUAUUCGUUCGUUCGUUCACUGACUAAUACGUUCGCUCAGUUGAUUGCUCAUUAACAUCGUACGUACACGUUGUUGUGGUGGUCGCUUCUUCUACAUACAUACAUACAUACCUACAUAUGAACAUUUUAUUGUUUUUGUCGUCGUUGUCGGUGCUAUUGAUGAUUGCCGCGUGCGCCUUAACCAGCGCCUUUGAUAUCGGACCGGCUAACGUCCAACCAUGAAGUAAGAGCCGCGCCGAACAAUGCGCGCAAUUAAUGAAAGUGACUGUGAAAAAAUUUUAAAGAAUGAACCACAAGCCGUAUUAUCGCCAGAGCCAAAAGAAUUAAUUUAACAAAAAAAAACAGCAAGCGGCAAGCAAAACAAAGGAAAUAAACUCAAAAAGUUUUGUUUUAGAUCGAAGUCAACGAAAAGUUGAGGAAUAUUUAGAGGAAGAAGUGAUUUGAAAACAGUGUUAAAUGUGAAAAUUAACAGCGUGCUUUGAUAGAAAAUUGAAAGAGAUUUAUUUAAUUAUUCAUCAGAAAUAGCAACAGUGACCCGCAGUGCUAAAGUUCGUCAGGUACGCCUGGGCGUAUGAGUGACGUUCGUUAAUGUGAAUUUGAGUUUGAAAUAAGCAUGCAGCAAAGAUGCAAAACAAAGCAAACAACACUUGAGUGAAGAAGAAGAAGAACGUGAGUUGAAAUUCAGCCGACAAUUAUUGGCUGGAAAUUAAAAUAAAUGAAAACAUUAGUGAAUACGCAACAGCAUAAAACGGCAAUUUAAGCGCACUUCAAUAUUAAUAACAAGUGUGCGAAUUAUUAUUUAAAUACAAUAGCAACGAUUGUGAAUAAAAUUAAAAAUUAAAAAAAUUAAAAUAUGUACAAAUAAAAGCAAAAGCAAAAAACAUACUUGCCCACAUAAAAACGCGCACAAAAAGCAAGCGCUGGUGAAUAAUAUUGGAGCCUAUGUAAGUUUUUUUGCAUGUUAAUCACAAUCGAUUAUAAUUAAUGAAUAAAUUGUAUAAUUACCGAAUAAAUGUGAAACAGUUGUGAACAUAAAUAGCUCGUGAUGCACAGAGUCGAUGAAAGUUAAAUGUGUAAAAAAAAACCAACACAUAAAUACUAAUAAAUUAAAAUUAGCUUAUGUAUAUGAAAAUAAAGUACUUUCAUUAACUACAGACAAAAAUGGCUUAAUUGGCUAAGAAGAAGCGCAAGAAUACAUACAAAAAAAAAAAAAAAACACCAUUUACUUAUAUAAAUACAAACAUAAUAAUUUCAAUUGCACAACCUCUACUAUUGCGCCGCAUUCGCCAUUGUCAAUUUUAAUUAAGCAAAGUGUAUUAAUUUGCAGCUCGUUACACUAAUUAAGGAUAAUAAGCUACAACAAUAUCUACAAAAACAACAAGCACUACAAAAACAACACGCUUUACAAGCAACAAUCUACUCUUAUCUAAUGGAAUCAGCUACGCAACGCUAGCGGCGUCUGUCGUGUAACCAAAAAUAAAUUAACAUCAGCAAGCUAAGAAGAGACAAAAACAAAACGAAAAGUUCAAAAAGCGCACAUACAUACAUACAUACCUACUUAAAUACUAAACAUACUUAAGCCUCGAAAAGGUCACAACCAAAUUCAUGAGGCUCCUUCGCAUACAAAAAUAGCAACAAGCAGCAGUAUUGAAUAACGUUAGCGCUUACACACCCACACACAUAGCGCAUGCGCCCGCACUCGUACACUUCUAAAGGAUAACUACUUACAUACACAUAUAUGUAUAUGUAGUUUAUGCCAUAUGAUGAAGAAGAAGAGUUGCGCGCAAAACAAAGUAAGUGCCACUAAAAGUGUAUGUGGUCUAGUAUAACGCGCCUGUAGCGCUUUUGUAUAGCUUUGUACGAGUAGAGUGCGUAAUAAGAUACUCGAAAUUUAUGUAUGUCAACUAUGGGUUGUAUAAUCGCCUAUUUGUAUGUGUUUGUGCAACAAUUACGUAAAAUUUUUUGACCUUUGACAGUUAACGCGCGGAUACGUUAAUCUAGUAGUCGUAACCUCAAAAGGAUACUAAAUAACAAAGUAAUUUCAAAAAAAAAA